AUUGAACGCUGGCGGCAUGCUUUACACAUGCAAGUCGAACGGCAGCGCGGGCUUCGGCCUGGCGGCGAGUGGCGAACGGGUGAGUAAUACAUCGGAACGUGCCCAGUAGUGGGGGAUAGCUCGGCGAAAGCCGGAUUAAUACCGCAUACGACCUGAGGGUGAAAGCGGGGGAUCUUCGGACCUCGCGCUAUUGGAGCGGCCGAUGGCAGAUUAGCUAGUUGGUGGGGUAAGGGCCUACCAAGGCGACGAUCUGUAGCUGGUCUGAGAGGACGACCAGCCACACUGGGACUGAGACACGGCCCAGACUCCUACGGGAGGCAGCAGUGGGGAAUUUUGGACAAUGGGCGAAAGCCUGAUCCAGCAAUGCCGCGUGUGUGAUGAAGGCCUUCGGGUUGUAAAGCACUUUUGGCGGGAACGAAAAGGACUGUGCCAAUACCACGGUUCGAUGACGGUACCCGCAGAAUAAGCACCGGCUAACUACGUG
rnacentral:rRNA from 1 species